UCUCCUGGAAAACGGGUGGUAAUGCCGGAUGCUCCAGUUGACCGCAUGGUCCUCUGGGAAAGCUUUUGCGGUAUGGGAUGGGGUCGCGUCCUAUCAGCUUGAUGGCGGGGUAACGGCCCACCAUGGCUUCGACGGGUAGCCGGCCUGAGAGGGCGACCGGCCACAUUGGGACUGAGAUACGGCCCAGACUCCUACGGGAGGCAGCAGUGGGGAAUAUUGCACAAUGGGCGCAAGCCUGAUGCAGCGACGCCGCGUGCGGGAUGACGGCCUUCGGGUUGUAAACCGCUUUUGACUGGGAGCAAGCCCUUCGGGGUGAGUGUACCUUUCGAAUAAGCACCGGCUAACUACGUGCCAGCAGCCGCGGUAAUACGUAGGGUGCAAGCGUUAUCCGGAAUUAUUGGGCGUAAAGGGCUCGUAGGCGGUUCGUCGCGUCCGGUGUGAAAGUCCAUCGCUUAACGGUGGAUCCGCGCCGGGUACGGGCGGGCUUGAGUGCGGUAGGGGAGACUGGAAUUCCCGGUGUAACGGUGGAAUGUGUAGAUAUCGGAAAAGAACACCA
rnacentral:rRNA from 1 species